rnacentral:rRNA from 1 species
UACAGAGGGUGCGAGCGUUGUCCGGAAUCACUGGGCGUAAAGGGCGCGUAGGCGGCCUGCUAAGUAGAGGGUGAAAUCCUGCGGCUCAACCGCAGGGCUGCCUUCUAAACUGUCAGGCUGGAGCACGGUAGAGGCAGAUGGAAUUCCCGGUGUAGCGGUGGAAUGCGUAGAGAUCGGGAAGAACACCAGUGGCGAAGGCGGUCUGCUGGGCCGUUGCUGACGCUGAGGCGCG